rnacentral:piRNA from 1 species
AGCAAAAUGAACUCAGAGCUCCAUUAAUCU